rnacentral:rRNA from 1 species
UGGGGAAUAUUGGGCAAUGGGCGAAAGCCUGACCCAGCGACGCCGCGUGGGUGAUGAAGGCCUUCGGGUUGUAAAGCCCUGUCAUGCGGAAAGAACGACCCUGAGACGCAUACUCUCAGGCAGUGACGGUACCGCAGGAGGAAGCACCGGCUAACUCCGUGCCAGCAGCCGCGGUAAUACGGAGGGUGCAAGCGUUGUUCGGAAUUAUUGGGCGUAAAGGGCGCCUAGGCGGUAAUGUAAGUCAGAUGUGAAAUACGGCGGCUCAACCAGAGAACAGCAUCUGAAACUGCAUGACUAGAGUACAGGAGAGGGAAACGGAAUUCCCGGUGUAGAGGUGAAAUGCGUAGAUAUCGGGAGGAACAACAGUGGCGAAGGCGGUUUCCUGGUCUGAUACUGACGCUGAGGCGCGAGAGCGUGGGGAGCAAACAG